rnacentral:rRNA from 1 species
CAGCCGCCGCGGUAAUACGUAGGUCCCGAGCGUUGUCCGGAUUUAUUGGGCGUAAAGCGGGCGCAGGCGGUUAGAUAAGUCUGAAGUUAAAGGCUGUGGCUUAACCAUAGUACGCUUUGGAAACUGUUUAACUUGAGUGCAAGAGGGGAGAGUGGAAUUCCAUGUGUAGCGGUGAAAUGCGUAGAUAUAUGGAGGAACACCGGUGGCGAAAGCGGCUCUCUGGCUUGUAACUGACGCUGAGGCUCGAAAGCGUGGGGAGCAAACAGGAUUAGAUACCCCCGUAGUCCCUGUCUCUUAUACA